rnacentral:pre_miRNA from 1 species
GUUGAGGGGAAUGUUGUCUGGCUCGAGGUCACCAACUAGAUCCAUAAUCCCUAUAAGAUGCUUUUCAAAAAAAGAUUAGUUGAUUUUUAUAAUACGAAAAGGGGUUAUGGAUAAUGUGUUAGUGUUGUCGGACCAGGCUUCAUUCCCCCCAAU